UCAGAACAAAUGCAAUGUCGAUUAUGCAUUUAUCAAUAUGACUGAUCCUUCAUUCAUUGUUCCAUUUUAUCAUGCUUUUAAUGGCAAGAAAUGGGAAAAGUUCAACAGUGAAAAGGUGGCAUCACUUGCAUAUGUUCGCAUCCAGGGAAAAGCUGCCCUUAUUGCUCACUUCCAGAAUUCUAGCUUGAUGAAUGAAGAUAAGCUGUAGUAUGCUGAAUUGUAGUAUGCUAUUGGGCUUCAUGGCUUACUACUCUAUAACCCCAUAUCAAAAAAUAUAUAAAACAGAGCUACAAUGUGUUCCUAGUAGCUUUGACUCUGUGGAAGAGUAUGUUUUUGCAUAGGCUGCUUGUGGACUGAACAUUAAAUUACCGAAGGAAAAGAUUGAAGAUAUUGAUGCCGGAGAUGUGUACAAUGAGUUGGCAGUUGUGGGGUAUGCAGAAAACAUUUAAAAGUUCUACAAGGAAGCUGAGUUUCAACAAGUUGAUUAUGACAAAGCGGUUAUUCAUCUGG